rnacentral:rRNA from 1 species
GGAUUAGAUACCCUGGUAGUCCACGCCGUAAACGAUGUCUACUAGCCGUUGGGUUCUUUAAGGACUUAGUGGCGCAGCUAACGCGAUAAGUAGACCGCCUGGGGAGUACGGUCGCAAGAUUAAAACUCAAAUGAAUUGACGGGGGCCCGCACAAGCGGUGGAGCAUGUGGUUUAAUUCGAAGCAACGCGAAGAACCUUACCAGGUCUUGACAUCCUAGAAACUUAGCAGAGAUGCUUUGGUGCCUUCGGGAAUCUAGAGACAGGUGCUGCAUGGCUGUCGUCAGCUCGUGCCG